rnacentral:rRNA from 1 species
AUUGAACGCUGGCGGCAUGCCUUACACAUGCAAGUCGAACGGCAGCACGGGAGCAAUCCUGGUGGCGAGUGGCGAACGGGUGAGUAAAGUAUCGGAACGUGCCCAGUCGUGGGGGAUAACGUAGCGAAGGUUACGCUAAUACCGCAUACGAUCUAUGGAUGAAAGCGGGGGAUCGCAAGACCUCGCGCGAUUGGAGCGGCCGAUAUCAGAUUAGGUAGUUGGUGGGGGAAAGGCUCACCAAGCCGACGAUCUGUAGCUGGUCUGAGAGGACGACCAGCCACACGGGGACUGAGACACGGCCAAGACUCCUACGGGAGGCAGCAGUGGGGAGUUUUGGACGAUGGGCGAAAGCCUGAUCCAGCCAUGCCGCGUGCAGGAUGAAGGCCUUCGGGUUGUAAACUGCUUUUGUACGGAACGAAAAGGUUUGGCCUAAUAAGCUGAGCUCAUGACGGUACCGUAAGAAUAAGCACCGGCUAACUACGUGCCAGCAGCCGCCGUAA